AUGACAUCGCAUGAUGAGUCAGCUCAUUACUAUGCCCAACUGCUGGUCUCGCGACGUGGUGGUUCCCAACGAUGCUUCCCCGCCACACUCUACCUCUGGUGCAAAGAUGGAUUUGAGGAGGUUGUAGCGCGACCUCCCUGCCGUGCCACACAAUGGCAGUUUCAGCACCGGACGCCUUCGCCAUGUUAUUUAUAUAAGAAGAAUCAGGGCGCCACCGCCCGCCAAGCUCUAAACCCUAGCUUGCACGCGCGCCGUCUUCUGCUCCUACCCCCGGCAAGGCAAGCAAGAGGCCUCUGUCUCUCCCGCCGUACCUGGUUCCCGAACGAGACAGCCGAUGGGCGACGACGUGCUCCGCCGCGCCUCCGUCCAUCCUCUCGACGCCGACUCCGGGGGCAUGAAGGACAAGGCUGGCGCUUCUCCACCCGGACGCUGAUUUUGAUCCAAUCUCGUUCCCUGUUAAUUGUUGGCUCCGCCUUCUCGCAGCGCCAAUUCUUCUUCUUCCUCCUCCUCUCAAAUCUCUCUUGUGGUUUCUUUCAAGAACACACACAUAGACACACAAUGCCGCCUCUCUUCGGUCAUUCACAUGGAGAAUCAGCACGACACGAACUCCUAUACGCCGGCCACCUCGCAUCGCAUGCAGCUGGCGACAUCCAUGGAGCCGGCCACCUUGCGUUUCGUGCAGCCGGCGACUUAAUUUCUCAACUAGAAGGAUACCAAGCCGGCGGACUGUGUUCCCGUGGACGGGGAGAAGACUCCAGUUUUGUUCGAGCCGCCGUCAAGCGAAUCUUCACCGAGCAGCCACUUGACACACUUGAAGCAUGGCAUGGCCGCCAACUUCAUCUCAUCUUUUCCCAAAUGGAACGGAAGUCGGAGGGUUUUAUCUUCUCCCCGUCCAUGGGAACGAGUCCCCCGGCUUGUAUCCGAGAAGGGAAGUCGCCGGCUGCAUGGAAUGCAAGGUGGCGGACUACAUGGAGAUCGCCAGCAGCAUGGGAUGCCAGCUGGCCGAUGGAUAGGAGUUCGUGUCGUACUGAUUCUAAUGAACGAAGAGAGAUCAUUGUUAAGGCCCACACUGGCAGGCGCAUUGUUCUUGAUGUCAAGAGUGUAGAUACUAUUCAUAACGUCAAGACCAAGAUUCAUGACAAGAAGGGUAUCCCUCCACAGCAGCAGUGUCUCAUAUUUGGUAGCAGCAAGGAGCUGGAGGAUGGACGGACCUUGGCCGACUACAGCAUCCAAAAGGAAUUCUUCCUUCAUCUUAUCCCUCGCAUCCGCGGAUGGAUGGAGAUUUCUGUGGAGACCCUCGACGGCAGGGUGAUCACCCUCCAGGUCGACCCAUCAGAUACCAUCAUUGCAGUCAAGGUAGAGAUUCAAGCUCAACAUCACCUUAUCUUCAACGGGAAGCAACUGGACGACAGGCUUAUAUUGGCUGAUUAUGGCAUCCAAUAUAGGCCCAUUCCUGACUUUCGUUACCAGCUCCAGGAAAUGAUGAAAAUAUGCAUCAGGACGCUGGACAACUCUCUGUAUGUUAAGAGCUCAGACACUAUCGACAGCGUCAAGGCCAAGAUUAAUGAUGAGUAUGGUUCAUCCAGGCCACCGAUUAUGGAAUCCAGAACGGAGCCACACUCAGACCAUGUCGUCUGUUACCGACCAAGACUGAUGGAGAUCUUCGUCAGGAAUUUGAAAGGGAAGGCCCUGACGUUUAAGGUUGAGAUCACAGAUACGAUCCGCAGUGUCAAGGAGAAGAUUGAGCAGGUGGAACAUAUUGACCUGGCAAGCCAACGCCUCAUCUUUGCCGGGCGGCAGCUGGAGGAUGGCUUCACACUGGCGGAAUACAAGAUCCAGGCUGAAUCCACAUUUCAUCUUUACCUCCGUCUUUAUUCAUUUGCUUUCUCCACGGCCACGCUACACAACACGAAGAAAAUCAAUGAAAUGCACUGUUUCUUUGCAGUUUGUCUACAUGAAUCCCUGCAUCAUGAGGUCACCAAACUCCUCUCCAGAUUCUUCUGGGCUGGAGAGAACAAUAAACAGAAGUACUACAUGAUGAAAUGGUUUGAGAUCUGUAAGCCUAAAGACCAAGGAGGCCUUGGGGUCAUUUCUUCCAAGCGGAUGAAUAUUGCCCUCCCCUCCAAAUGGCUUUGGCGGAUUCAGACCGAUGAGGGCGGCCUUUGGCUUGAGAUUAUCUGGGCAAAGUACCUUCGCGGGCAACCGCUGGCCUUCGUCCCUAGAUCUGGAGGGUCCCAAUUCUGGCGACCGGUGAUCUGUCUGAUGCCGGUCUUGCGCAUUGGGACCUCCAUUAAAGUGGGCACCGGUUCCGGCACCCUAUUUUGGCUGGAUAGAUGGGCCGGGACCCGUCUCUUUGCAGAACGCUUUUACGCAUUAUUCUCGAUUUGUGUCCGCCCUCAACUCUCGGUGGCAGUGGCUUUAGCUGACCUGGCCGCUAUUGCCUUCCGCCGUACCUUCGGGGCGCCCGACUCGCUGUCUUGGCAUCUCAAGCCAAGUGGCCGAUUCUUGACUAGAUCCCUUUACCAGGCGAUCGUUCCCACCCCUGGCCCGGUGGAGCUAUCGGUACUUUGGGAGAUCAAACUCCCCUUGAAAAUCCGCAUAUUUCUCUGGCAACGGGUCCGAGGCCACCUCCCCUCGGGCACGGAGGUCCGAAAACGUAAUGGCCCUGGGGAUGGCCUCUGCCCCAUUUGUUUGGUACCAGAAGACUGCAACCAUAUCUUCUUCCGGUGCCCUGCGGCACAGUUUCUUUGGAGCUGCUUCCGGGAAGUGGUUGGCGGCAAUUGGUGCCAAGACAACCUCCUGGACUUGUUUGGGGAGGUCCUUAGGCUCCCUGGCGCUAGUCGCGCCCCCACCUGGCUCUGGAGACCGCUUAGCAAGCGGCGCGACCGAGACAUCAUCGACAACAUCAUUGCGGGUCUUCGUUCCUCGGUGUCGGCAUUUGCUCCUCCAACACCACCACCUCCCGAGCCGGAUUAG
rnacentral:rRNA from 1 species